rnacentral:rRNA from 1 species
AACGAACGCUGGCGGCAUGCCUAACACAUGCAAGUCGAACGAGACCUUCGGGUCUAGUGGCGCACGGGUGCGUAACGCGUGGGAACCUGCCCUUAGGUUCGGAAUAACUCCCCGAAAGGGGUGCUAAUACCGGAUAAUGUCUUCGGACCAAAGAUUUAUCGCCUUUGGAUGGGCCCGCGUUGGAUUAGCUGGUUGGUAGGGUAAAAGCCUACCAAGGCGACGAUCCAUAGCUGGUCUGAGAGGAUGAUCAGCCACACUGGGACUGAGACACGGCCCAGACUCCUACGGGAGGCAGCAGUGGGGAAUAUUGGACGAUGGGCGAAAGCCUGAUCCAGCAAUGCCGCGUGAGUGAUGAAGGCCCUAGGGUUGUAAAGCUCUUUUACCCGGGAUGAUAAUGACAGUACCGGGAGAAUAAGCUCCGGCUAACUCCGUG